rnacentral:rRNA from 1 species
UACGUAGGGGGCAAGCGUUGUCCGGAAUCAUUGGGCGUAAAGAGCGCGUAGGCGGCCCUGUAAGUCCGCUGUGAAAGUCAAGGGCUCAACCCUUGGAUGCCGGUGGAUACUGUCGAGCUCGAGUCCGGAAGAGGCGAGUGGAAUUCCUGGUGUAGCGGUGAAAUGCGCAGAUAUCAGGAGGAACACCGGUGGCGAAGGCGGGUCUCUGGGCCGAUACUGACGCUGAGGAGCGAAAGCGUGGGGAGCGAACAGG